rnacentral:rRNA from 1 species
GAUGAACGCUGGCGGCGUGCCUAAUACAUGCAAGUCGAGCGAACGGACUAGAAGCUUGCUUCUCUGAUGUUAGCGGCGGACGGGUGAGUAACACGUGGAUAACCUACCUAUAAGACUGGGAUAACUUCGGGAAACCGUAGCUAAUACCGGAUAAUAUUUUGAACCGCAUGGUUCAAAAGUGAAAGACGGUCUUGCUGUCACUUAUAGAUGGAUCCGCGCUGCAUUAGCUAGUUGGUAAGGUAACGGCUUACCAAGGCAACGAUGCAUAGCCGACCUGAGAGGGGGUUCGACCACCGGGGACCAGGAACAGGGCCAAGACGCCGGGGGGAGGAGGAAGGAGGGAUUCUUCGGAAAGGGCGAAAGGCGGGAGGGAGCACCGCGGGGGGAGAGAGAAGGUUUUGCGGAUCGAAAACCUCUUUUAUGGGGAAAAAACAAAUUUGUAAGUACCUGUACCAUUCUGGACGGUCCCUAAUAAAAAACCCCCGGCAAACUCCGGC